UAUUUAUAUUUACGUUCUAGGAAAUACCAACACGUUCCUCAUCGACCUUUGCCGAAUAUUUCUUCGCAGUGUUCAGUAUCGCACGUUCUUCGAUAGAGUGAGGAAGUCCCGACAUCGCAGUUAUUAUUAUAAUUUAUUGUGACUGUAUUGUAAUAUACAAAAUAAUAUUUAAAAGUUUAAUUGUGUAUUGAAAAUUAUUGCGGUGAAUAAGAAUAAAAACUUACAGUGUAUAAAAUAAUUACAAAUAUAAUGAAAAUAGAAAAUAUCGUAGUAUCGUGUGGAAACGAGCUUACAUGGCAAUAUUUCUUACCGGAAAAAUCGCCGUUUGUAAGAUGCAAAAUUUGUAGAGCGCGCUAUCACUAUCGAUACAUAAGAUAUUUGGCGAGGCACCUAAUUCUUAACCAUUUAAAAAUAAUAAGUAAAGAAAUAAGGAAAAAGUUUUUAAAAAAAUGCCACAGUGUACAGAAUACGUAUUUUUUGUCUAAGUAAAUUUUUAAAAAUAACAUGCAUUGCCCGUAAUUAAAAUAUAAAGGUAUUUUUCGAGUACACAACUCUCUUUUAAGAAAGUACUGGAAUACCCGUUUUUAUACAAAAAACAACGCAAACGCUGAUGAUCAAACAUACAGUGUAAAACCGUUGACAAAUAACGUAUUUAUAUGGAAAAAAUUUGAUAGCUUGGUACGGCUGCAUUUCAAACCAGUAGAACGGGAAAAAAAAAUUUUACACCAGAAGUAUGUUUGGCCUCUUGCAAAAUGUAAAAUUUGUUCUAACCAUUUUUGUUGUAAAAAACAACAAGUUUAGAGGUACAUCUGAACAAAAUGCAUCAAGAAAUAGUACACAAAAUGCAAAACAAAAGAUACUUGGUUGUCACAAUUUUCCACAUUUGACGUGAAAAAUUAUUUGACGAGAUGCAUUUACGUGUUGCUACCCUAUGUAUUUUGAGGAAUGAAUUACUUAAGAAACCGCUUGUUGCAUCAUGAUUAAAAUAAAUAAAUAUUUAAGAACUUGUGUACGUAAAAAAAAACCAUGUGGAUAUAAUGGGACAACCAUCGAUAAUAAGAUCCUAGGACGUUUUCAAUUAGGACAAUAAGGACAAUG